GAGGGUAUAGCUCAAGUGGUAGAGCACAUACUUAGCAUGCACAGGGUCCUGGGUUCAAUCCCCAGUACCUCCU
rnacentral:tRNA from 1 species